rnacentral:tRNA from 1 species
CCUGAUAGCUCAGUUGGUAAAGAAACUGCCUGCAAUGCAGGAGACCCUGGUUUGAUUCCUGGGUCAGGA